AGAGUUUGAUCCUGGCUCAGAACGAACGCUGGCGGCACGCCUAACACAUGCAAGUCGAACGAUAAGGUUCCUUCGGGAACUGGACAGUGGCGGACGAGUGAGUAUCGCGUGGGAACCUACCUAUCAGUACGGAACAACAGUUAGAAAUGACUGCUAAUACCGUAUACGCCCCUUGGGGGAAAGAUUCAUCGCUGAUAGAUGGGCCCGCGUUAGAUUAGCUAGAUGGUGAGGUAAUGGCUCACCAUGGCGACGAUCUAUAGCUGGUUUGAGAGGAUGAUCAGCCACACUGGGACUGAGACACGGCCCAGACUCCUACGGGAGGCAGCAGUGGGGAAUAUUGGACAAUGGGGGCAACCCUGAUCCAGCGAUGCCGCGUGUGUGAUGAAGGCCUUAGGGUUGUAAAACACUUUCACGAGGGAUGAUAAUGACAGUACCUCGAGAAGAAGCUCCGCUAACU
rnacentral:rRNA from 1 species